ACAUUCUAACAUGGUGGUGAACAUAUAUAAAGUGUAAAUGUCUUUUCUAUUCGAUUGUCUAUUUUUUUUAGGUGAUAUUAGUCUAAUUAUUAUUGCUACAAUUAUAUUUCUUACUUGUGAAUUGAUUAUACAUGUUGUCUUUGAGGGUGCCAAGGUCGUUACCAAAUUCACCUGUUCUUGAACUAUGUUCUUUGUUCUUCCUCUAUUUUAUUGUUUAGUUUAUCACAAAUUGGUUUGUGUUUUAUUUUAUAAAAAGAAGAUUGUAGAUUUACAAA
rnacentral:lncRNA from 1 species